UACGUAGGGGGCAAGCGUUGUCCGGAAUCAUUGGGCGUAAAGCGCGUGUAGGCGGGUCGGUAAGUCCGCUCUGAAAGCCCGGGGCUCAACCCCGGGAGGCGGGUGGAUACUGUCGACCUCGAGUCCGGAAGAGGCGAGUGGAAUUCCUGGUGUAGCGGUGAAAUGCGCAGAUAUCAGGAGGAACACCAAUGGCGAAGGCAGCUCGCUGGGACGGUACUGACGCUGAGACGCGAAAGCGUGGGGAGCGAACAGG
rnacentral:rRNA from 1 species